UUCCCCCUCGUCAGCAGGUUUCCACUGUACCACCAGCGGGAGUCCUGGAUGACACCCCGGUUGUGCGGCCCCUCCCCCGCUCCUUCCCUCACUCGCGGCAGCAAUCCCCGACUCUAGGGGAGGGAGCGAAGUUCUCUCCUACUGCGUUCCAGCUCCUCUGAGGCCAGCAGCAGGGUCUCUGUCCUCCAUAUUUUUGAUACUGUAGGUCUCCAACGCCCUGGCAUUAGGUUUAUUUGCUGAAAUUGAGUUUUUUUCCAGUCCUUUGUUGCAGUUUGGAGGGGAGACAGUCCCAGGUCAGCUCACCCCGCCAUCUUGCUCAGUCCACACCUGUAGUUUCUUUAUUAUUGACUUUUAAGUGUUCAGUAUGUUUUCUAUACGCAGGUCUCUUAUUAUACUUGUGAUUCGCUUGGGUAUUGUCCCAUUCAGCAGGUUGUCUUCUCACCUUCUUGAUACUCUCAUUUGAGACACAUGUGUUUUUAAUUUUGUUGAGGUCCAAUUUAUUUCUUUUCUAUUUUAUACUAGUGCUUUUGGUGUCAUCCCUGGGAAACGAUUGCCUGUCUCCAGGUCAGAAGCUGUGAUCCCAUGUGUUUUCCUGUAGGAGUUGUGUAGUUCUGCCUCCUAUGUCGUGUUGGAUCUCUGUGAGGUCGUUUCUGGAAGUGCUGUGAGGAAGGAGUCUGACUUCCUCCUGUGCAUGUGAAUAUCCAGUUGUCUCGAUCCCAUUUGUUGAAAAAUUAUUCUUUUCCCUUUGAACUGUCUCAUCUCUCAUCAAAAUCUAACUGACUGUAAACAUGAACAUUUAUUUCUGGUCUUUCAGUUCUGUUCCAUUAUCUGUGUGUUUAUUUUUCUGUCGGUACCACACUGUUUUCAUUAUUGCAGCUUCACAAUGAGUUUUAAAGCAGGAAGCGUGAGCUCUCCAUCCUGUUCUUCUUCUUUGAGGUUGCUUUGGCUCCUCUGGCUCCCUUGCAUUUCUCUAUGAAUUUCGGGAUUGGCUGGUCAGUUACUGCAAAAGAGGCUGCUGAGAUUUUGCUCGAGGUUGCAUUGACUCUGCAGUUCUCUCCAUGCAGUAUCACCAUCUUCAUAGUAUAAAGUCUUCGAUCCAUGAAUAUGGGCAGUCUUUUCAUGUAUUUUGGCCCUCUUUAAUUGCUUUCAAUAAUGUUUUGGAGCAUUUGUUGUACAAGUCUUGUACUUCUUAAGUUAGAUUUAUUACUAAGGAUUUUAUUGGUUUGGAUGCUAUUGUAAAUUAACCUAUUUUCUUACUUUCAUUGUCAGUUUUUCAUUGCUAGCAUGGAGAAGUAAAAUUGACUUUUUAAUUGAAAUAUAUUAGUUUCAGGUGUAAAAUAUAAUGAUUCCAUAUAUGUGUAUAUUCCCAAAUCCUACCGCCGUGAGUCAAGUUUGAAUCCAUCGCCUUGUUACUGAGCAAGGGCUUGCUGCCUGAUGCGCAUAGAAGCCAGGACUAUGGCCUUGGCUUUUGAGAAAAGAAGAGCUUCAUUGCAAGGUCGUCUCACAAGGUAACAGGGGGCAAAUCUCUCCAAUCUGUCUUCCCAAUGCAGGUUUGGGGUCACAUUUCAGCACUGGUGGACUAGUAAGCUGCUGCUGGGACCACGUGGGCUGCCGGGCUGGCCUUGACUCGGUAAUCAAGCUACUUGGGCUGCUGGAAGCCAGAUUGUCCUUAUUGAAGGGCUGCUUGCUUCCGGUGUCAGUGUUUCUGAGGAUUCUUGUCUCUGGGGACCUCCUGGGGUCAUGGGUUCCUGCCUGGCAUGUGCACAGUGCUGUCUGUGCAGUUGAGCACCAGGAUUGAUUAAUCAACAACCUGUUUUAAUGGAGAAAAACUAGUUUAAGAUGGUCAGUGUUUUCUGUGCUGUUGCAACCUCAUAUAGUUACAAAAUUUUUUUCUUGUCUUGAGAAUUUUUAGCAUUGACUCUCUUAGCAACUUUCCAGUAGACAAUAUAGUACUGCUAACUCUAGUCACCACAAUGCACGUUAAGUCCUCAGGACUUCUUCAUUUUAGAACAGGGAAUUUGUACCUUUUGACCCCCUUGCUCCCUUUGCCGACCCACUACCCCUUCCCCCUGGCUGCUGACAACCUGUUCUCUGCAUCUAUAGCUCAGACAUGUGGGUUGCUUCUGUGUCUGGGCUCCUGUGAAUCAUGCUGCAGUGAACACGGGGGGCAGAUGUCUGUCUGCAGGAAUGUUUCUGUUUCCAUUGUGUAAAUACCCAGAAGUGGAAUUACUGGAUCAUAUGGUGGUUCUAUUUUUAAUCUUUGGAGGAACUUCCAUACUGUUUUCUAUGGUGGCUGCACCAACUUGUAGUUCCGUAGAUUGGUGGUGGUUUUGUUUUUUUUACUGAUCUUGUAUCCUGCCAUCUUGCAGAAGUCGUUUAUUCGUUCCAAUACUUUUUCUGUGUUUUCUCUGAUUUCCUAUAUACAUGGUCAUGUCAUUUGCAAAUAGAGAGAGUUUUACUUCACUCCGUCCAAUCUGGAUGCCUUUUAUUUCAUUUUCUUGCCUAUCUGACAUGGCUAAAACCUCCCGUAAAUGUAAAAUAGAAUUGAUGGGAGUGGCCCUUGCUCACCUUGUCCUGACGUCAGGGACGAGGCUUCCAGUCUCUCCCGUGAAGUAUGAUGCAUGUGAGCUCUGUCUUGUUCACAGAUGCCCUUUCCCAGGCUCAGGGAGCUGCCUUGUGUUUCUAGUGUCCUGAGUGUUUUGAUCACAAAGGGCGUUGGAUUUUGUCCAAUGGCUUUUCUGCAUUUAGUGGGAAUCAGCUUUCCCAGCAGCUUUCAAACCAUGAAAUCACCUUCCCUGCCCUCUCCCUCCAUCUCUCUCCCUCACACAAACACACAGACCUCUCUGGAAGCAAAUCAGAAUCCACCCAGCAAAUCCUUGCUAAAAGUUGUCCAAGGAGUCAUCUAGACCUCUUGCCCCGGUUAUCCUUGCCUGGCUGCUGCGUAGCUAGGGGCGGCCCCCACUCCACACAAGUGAUGGCAGAAAUUCACAUGCUCCUGAUGAUUUGGAGGGUGCUGACUCCCUCUGGCAUGCACACGCCAUCAUUUUUCUUCUCUUGACUGACUGUAGAGUGGAAGCAUUUAGCACAAAAGGAGAGGACCGUGCAGGAAGGAGCAUGUAUCAAGUGCGAGUGCUAAAGGGUCACAAUAGACAGGCAAAAUGUUGACUUCCCCAAGAAGUGUGUUAAAGGAAAUGUGACAUAUUCUCGACAGCCCUUUCUGGCAUGGAAGUCCGCAUUCUGCAAAUACUGCUUUGGGUUUAUUUCCUGAGGCCUCAUAUAUUGCUUUUGUCUUGCAGGAGUUUGGUUGCUGACCAUGUUGUCGAACGGCCCUCAGGAGGGUGAGCUUUCUGUUCCUCAGUUUGGCCUGUCGCAGGUAAGGGGCCUUGGGGUCCUUUGUGUCUUCAGCUAGGAAAGGGUCACCUGGGCUUUCCCCAGAAUUCCCUGGCGGUGCUGGGAGCGCCCGACAUGCAGUACAAGGUCUGGACUGGACAAAUGCUUCAUCUGCAAACUUCCUAUGGCGCUGAGUUUCUAAAGCCCUCGAAUGACAUGGAUUCUGAAAUGGAAAAGUGAAGGACAAAGGGACUUCAGCAAUGUGGUUGCCAGGCUUCUCCCGAAAACAAGCAACAGGAUACACACCCACGUGCAUGUGCGCACAUAACAGAUGUGUGUAUACGUAUGUGGAGAGAGAGACUGACUUUAAUAUACUGGCCUGUGUGAGCAUGUGGGCUGGCGAGUCCACAGUCUGCAGGCCAGGCUUAUAGACUAGAAGCUGUGGCAAGUUAGCUCUCUCAGGAGCUCAACCUUGUGACGCCAGACUCAGGGAUGGGAGCACACAAUCAUUUCAGGUGUUGGAAGGUGGGCAGAUUCCCUAUUUGUUGUAUAAGAAUGCCAACAGCACAAGCCUGCUGCACCUGAGAAGUCUCACCACCCCACUGUGGGACCAUAAACCCCAUCAACACAGGCCCACCCUGUGUACAUGCCCUGCUCUGCUGAAGCAGACCUGCUUGUCUUGCUGUAGAGGUCCAGAACACACCACCUACACAGCCCCACAAGUUCCCUGUUGGCUGGCUAGUGGGUGGGGUGAGUCCCUAGGGCAGGGCGCCUUCCCUGGAUGAGCUGGAUUAAAUCACUGCUCUAGUGGGUAGGCUAAACCCCUCAGCUAACAGACCAUGGGAAGAAAUACAAUUGCAUCUGCCACUGUCUGUCUCAGAGGCCUGUAUUAUGUCACAAUAAUGGCUCCGACCAGUGUUCACUCCCUGGGGUGGUGAUCCCAAUCACCUUCUGCCUCUCUGAGAUGUGCUCAGAGCUUAUCCAGUGAGUCUUUUUUUUAACCAAAGGACUAUGCACCUUUCUUUCUGGUGAUUUUGUUUGGUUUUUAGAAUGGGUGAAUUUCUCCAUGGGCCCCUUGAAAGCAGGCUUUUCUUUCUCUUCUCUUCAAUAGGUUUUCUGGGGGUAUUCUCCUUUGGGUUUAAUAAC
ensembl:lncRNA